GGUAAAGUUUGAGGGUUAGGUUAGUCACACGCUUUAUUAUUGUGACACUUUGUUAGGAGCAAGUGUGUUGUGUCUUUUUGUUCUGGGCGUUCGUGUGGGCAGUCUUCUCUUUCCGGUUUCUGUCUGCUGAUGGAGUAAUAAGUUUGUUGUGGCCGUUUAAAGUAGGCGAAACGGGGCAUUAGGAUACUCCUCAUGUGACUUGGGUGCUGCUGAAAUAAAAAAUGAAGUGGCCAGUACCAACACGACAGUUUUAAUUCUCUGUUGGCUUAUAUAUCAGUACUGUGAACUUUACUACUGUUUCCUUCAGCUGAAGUUCCUGGCUCUUUUCAGCUGACCAUGGACCAAAGUAAUUGCAAAUGAGAAAUGAGCCAAACUCAAUGUCACUACCUGACUGAAAUUGUUUCUGCUAUCUAGAAGAUCUCAGUUCUUUUGAAUGACUCGGUGUAACAACUCGCAUCAACUUAUUCUCCACUCCUGUCAUUUGAUGAUCCAGCAUGAUCCAGUAAAGAAAACCUGUCUGAGUGUUGAAAUCCAGGCAAAAUUUUGUUGCAAUGUGCAACAGAAUAAUUUCUACCAGUUGAGCUAGAUGGCGCACGGCGAAUAAGUUUUAGCCAUUGACAGCAGACAGCAUGUUACACGUCAUUUUGUUCUGGACAGAAGUAAGUGAUGUUUUCCUUCCAGAAAUCAUCGGUCGGCUUUAUUUAACGCGAAGCUGUUAAAGCAAACUCCAGACAAUAUAGAGUUCAAUCAAAACUCGUAUUAAGGAGGAAGGAGAGAAAACAAAACUUUAGAGUGACAAGAUGGAAAACGAAAUAAUGUUGGAUGGGUCGAGAAUCUGGAGAUAUCACUUCUGAACUUAACACUGAACAACCUGAAAUUCACUAAAUUUUUUGCUCAUUAGCCAACAAGGCAACAUCUGAUGAUUCUGAUGAUGCCAAUGCCAUGAUGGAAGAGAACACUUGGUGAAAGAUCAUAAUUUGGUUCAUGUUUACAUGGUGGGGUGGUGUUGCUGUCCAAUGUGGCGUGUUGUUGCAGCCUAUGGUGGUGAAAGAUAUCUGCAUCAAGUUGCUGUUUCUUGUGCAUCCAAGGUGCUGGUUUUGUGCUACAGGAGUUACAUCCAGUAUUGUGUUUUAUUGCUAAUUGUUUCUUUGCAGUUUACCUUUUAUACGUUGAGAAGGAACAAAAAAAAGUAAUACGGGGAGGUUUAUGUCAAACAAAUAAUAAACAUGUCCGCGAUUGGGGAAUGAGGAGGAAGUUGGGGUGGGAUAUUUGAUUAUCAUUUACUAAAAGAAGUUCGGUAUAUUUUAUUAUUUUUUAAAUGAAUAUGCAGGUGAUAAAAUCUGUUGUUAACCCAUAUAACCUUCUCCACUUACACAUCCAUUCCUCAAACCCCGACAUAAAGUCCCACAUCCAUUCCUCAAACCCCAUAAUCUCCAACAUCCAAUUGUCACAAUUGUUGUAUACGUAUAAUCGUAUUCAUGUAUAAAUAAAUAAAAUGUCAUUGUA